CCUACGGGGGGCUGCAGUGGGGAAUAUUGCACAAUGGGGGAAACCCUGAUGCAGCAACGCCGCGUGAGCGAUGAAGGCCUUCGGGUCGUAAAGCUCUGUCCUAAGGGAAGAAUACUGACGGUACCUUAGGAGGAAGCACCGGCUAACUACGUGCCAGCAGCCGCGGUAAUACGUGGGGGGCUAGCGUUAUCCGGAAUUACUGGGCUUAAAGAGUGCGUAGGCGGCCCUGACAGUCAGAGGGGACAGGCUAGGGUGCAACCGUAGUAAUCAUUUGAAAUGGUAGGGCUUGAAUGCAGGAGAGGAGAGUGGAGUUCCCGGUGUAGCGGUGAAAUGCGUAGAUAGUUGGAGGAACACGAUUUGCGAAGGCGGAUCUCUGGACUGGUACUGACGCUGAGUCACGAAAGCGUGGGGAGCGAACAGGAUUGGAUUCCCUGGUAGUC
rnacentral:rRNA from 1 species